rnacentral:rRNA from 1 species
UACGAAGGGGGCUAGCGUUGUUCGGAAUUACUGGGCGUAAAGCGCGCGUAGGCGGACGGUUAAGUCAGGGGUGAAAGGCCGAGGCUCAACCUCGGAACUGCCUUUGAUACUGGCCGUCUUGAGACCGGGAGAGGUGAGUGGAACACCCAGUGUAGAGGUGAAAUUCGUAGAUAUUGGGUAGAACACCAGUGGCGAAGGCGGCUCACUGGCCCGGUUCUGACGCUGAGGCGCGAAAGCGUGGGGAGCAAACAGG